UGGGGAAUAUUGCACAAUGGGCGAAAGCCUGAUGCAGCGACGCCGCGUGGGGGAUGACGGUCUUCGGAUUGUAAACUCCUUUCAGUAGGGACGAAGCGAAAGUGACGGUACCUGCAGAAGAAGCACCGGCCAACUACGUGCCAGCAGCCGCGGUAAUACGUAGGGUGCAAGCGUUGUCCGGAAUUACUGGGCGUAAAGAGCUCGUAGGCGGUUUGUCACGUCGUCUGUGAAAUCCUCCAGCUCAACUGGGGGCGUGCAGGCGAUACGGGCAGACUUGCGUACUACAGGGGGGACUGGAAUUCCUGGGGUAGCGGUGACAUGCGCAGAUAUCAGGAAGAACACCGGUGGCGGAGACGGGUCUCUGGGUAGUAACUAUCGCUGAGAAGCGAAAGCAUGGGGAGCAAACUGG
rnacentral:rRNA from 1 species